GAUGAACGCUGGCGGCGUGCCUAAUACAUGCAAGUCGAGCGAACAGACGAGGAGCUUGCUCCUCUGAAGUUAGCGGCGGACGGGUGAGUAACACGUGGAUAACCUACCUAUAAGACUGGGAUAACUUCGGGAAACCGGAGCUAAUACCGGAUAACAUGUUGAACCGCAUGGUUCAACAGUGAAAGAUGGUCUUGCUGUCACUUAUAGAUGGAUCCGCGCCGCAUUAGCUAGUUGGUAAGGUAACGGCUUACCAAGGCAACGAUGCGUAGCCGACCUGAGAGGGUGAUCGGCCACACUGGAACUGAGACACGGUCCAGACUCCUACGGGAGGCAGCAGUAGGGAAUCUUCCGCAAUGGGCAAAAGCCUGACGGAGCAACGCCGCGUGAGUGAAGAAGGUCUUCGGAUCGUAAAACUCUGUUAUUAGGGAAGAACAAAUGUGUAAGUAACUAUGCACGUCUUGACGGUACCUAAUCAGAAAGCCACGGCUAACUACGUGCCAGCAGCCGCGGUAAUACGUAGGUGGCAAGCGUUAUCCGGAAUUAUUGGGCGUAAAGCGCGCGUAGGCGGUUUUUUAAGUCUGAUGUGAAAGCCCACGGCUCAACCGUGGAGGGUCAUUGGAAACUGGAAAACUUGAGUGCAGAAGAGGAAAGUGGAAUUCCAUGUGUAGCGGUGAAAUGCGCAGAGAUAUGGAGGAACACCAGUGGCGAAGGCGACUUUCUGGUCUGUAACUGACGCUGAUGUGCGAAAGCGUGGGGAUCGAACAGGAUUAGAUACCCUGGUAGUCCACGCCGUAAACGAUGAGUGCUAAGUGUUAGGGGGUUUCCGCCCCUUAGUGCUGCAGCUAACGCAUUAAGCACUCCGCCUGGGGAGUACGACCGCAAGGUUGAAACUCAAAGGAAUUGACGGGGACCCGCACAAGCGGUGGAGCAUGUGGUUUAAUUCGAAGUAACGCGAAGAACCUUACCAAAUCUUGACAUCCUCUGACCCCUCUAGAGAUAGAGUUUUCCCCUUCGGGGGACAGAGUGACAGGUGGUGCAUGGUUGUCGUCAGCUCGUGUCGUGAGAUGUUGGGUUAAGUCCCGCAACGAGCGCAACCCUUAAGCUUAGUUGCCAUCAUUAAGUUGGGCACUCUAAGUUGACUGCCGGUGACAAACCGGAGGAAGGUGGGGAUGACGUCAAAUCAUCAUGCCCCUUAUGAUUUGGGCUACACACGUGCUACAAUGGACAAUACAAAGGGUAGCGAAACCGCGAGGUCAAGCAAAUCCCAUAAAGUUGUUCUCAGUUCGGAUUGUAGUCUGCAACUCGACUACAUAAAGCUGGAAUCGCUAGUAAUCGUAGAUCAGCAUGCUACGGUGAAUACGUUCCCGGGUCUUGUACACACCGCCCGUCACACCACGAGAGUUUGUAACACCCGAAGCCGGUGGAGUACCUUUUGGAGCUAGCCGUCGAAGGUGGGACAAAUGAUUGGGGUGAAGUCGUAACAAGGUAGCCGUAUCGGAAGG
rnacentral:rRNA from 1 species